GUGCUCGCUUCAGCAGCACAUAUACUAAAAUUGGAAUGAUACAGAGAAGAUUUGCAUGGCCCCUGUGCAAGGAUGACAUGCAAAUUUGUGAAGCAUUCCAUAUUUUU
ensembl:snRNA U6 U6 spliceosomal RNA